rnacentral:rRNA from 1 species
UGGCGGACGGGUGAGUAACGCGUGGGUAACCUGCCUUGUACCGGGGGACAACAGUUGGAAACGACUGCUAAUACCGCAUAAGCGCACAGCUUCGCAUGAAGCAGUGUGAAAAACUCCGGUGGUACAAGAUGGACCCGCGUCUGAUUAGCUGGUUGGUGAGGUAACGGCCCACCAAGGCGACGAUCAGUAGCCGGCCUGAGAGGGUGAACGGCCACAUUGGGACUGAGACACGGCCCAA